CUAUUAAAUGGGAGUUGGUCGUUUGACACUCAACGCACUUUGGUGGUCGUCAUUAAAACAAUCCGGACCGUUAAAUCUAAUCUCACAGACUCCGCUCAAAAUCCAUCCGUCCAACCUACUUUUCCAAUUCUGCUGUCUACUUUUAAGGCAGGUCGCCUGACUUUAGUGCGAAUCAAAUCACGUCAAUUACGGUAAUCAUAUAUAUAUUAAUUAUGAAAAUUUCUUUCCUUGCUCCAAAAGCUUUAUCUCACAACCAUCUAUCCCCCGCCCAUGAAAAUCCGGACUCCAUGGAAAUCCCCCUCCCGAGCGAGACAUCCAGCCCCUAUCCACAUCCGGCCGGACCUUCGACGCUCAGGUGCCUCUCCUUCUGGCAGGCGCGUUACGGAGAGCAGCCGAGGUAGAGGAAGAGCGAGCUGAGGGAGAGGAGAGAGAUCCAUGCGCAGUGUAGGCAGCGGAGCUCUAGCCGUGGCCCUGGUGGCCAACGGGGACGACCAAGGUGGAUGGUGGCGCUCGGCGACGGCUACGGCUGAAGGGGCCAGCUCCCUAAUUUUCCGCACCUGCAAAGCGGCCUGGAUCAAUGAUAGCAACACGGAUCACCGGCGGUGGCGCCGUCAUGGCAUGAUGGCAUACAUGUGACAACUGACCAUCGGACUGUCCUCCACCAACGUUGCCCCUCUGCAUAGCUCGACAUGAUUGAUGCCAGUACCUCCACCCUUUGGUAGGCGCCAUGUCGCCCAUGGCCGCCAAGGUCAACGCAGGCUGUUGAGCACCACCCUUUCAGCUGGCUCUGCGCACAUGCUGUCCUCAACUCGAUAGCGAGGAUGAGCAAGCAGGUAUUGUAAAGCUUCACCUUUUUAUUUGAUCCUUUGAAUGAGUUCUAUCUGUUUUCAAUUAGAUGAUAUGUAGUACUUCAUUAAGGUAAUCCAAACGCUUCAGCACCAAUGUUCGCUCCAUUCUUUUUUUUAGCUGGAAACAUUCGCUUCAUUCUGUUUAGUGCAAAAUUUUCUACUUUGUUUCAUGCCACUGGUGUCUCUUGUAAGUAGUAUAAGCACAUAUAUGCCAUCAUUUUCACUUUUUCUAGCUGGAGUAUGUUCCUGACUUCAGGAGUAAUAUUGUUCUCUAUUUAUUAUUUAUUAUUACAGGACACACAGUACUGUAGUAUCUUUGUUGACAGUGACUAUCUUGAAUGGAGUGACACAUCUUUUUAUGGAUAUUCAGUUAAUGGACCUCGGAUUUUUGGAGCUUGUCAUUCUUAAUUUACCAUCCUGUUUUUUUCCUAUAUAUGCUGAAAAGGUAAGUGGACUUUCGUGUGUUGAAAGUUGAAUAUUUGCUUGUGUCAUAAGGAAGUUUAGUUUGCUAAGGAAAAUCUGUUAUAUUCUUAUAACAUGCUUACCUCCCCUCCCACCCUAAAAAUGCCACCUUUGUUUCGCUAAAUUUAGCGUAUACUAAAUUAUCAUAACUUGAUUUGUAGCCUUGCUUCUACAGUGGUUAGAUGGAGUUAUGGACAAAGGACCAUAUUGCUGAAAGUUGAAACUGGUUUUUCCUUGGUGUCAAUUUUGAUUUACCAUAUUUGUUUCCAUGUAAUAAUUUCUUGGUGAUAUAGACAGAGUAUGAUAAGCCUGUGGAGGUGAAUCAUGCAGAGGAGCAGCAACAGAAAGGCCAACAACAAGCCUGGAAUAAGAGGUGGACAAGGGCGAUGGAUGCGGUCACGAUCGUACCAUGACCCGCUCAUCCCCCCUCUCGCUAUUAUUGGUCUUCCUUGCUGUUCAUAUACUUUGGAAAUUUUAGAUUGACGGUUGAUUCGCUGGCUGAUAUAAUCAACUUCUCUCUUUUUCGAGUCUUAUUGAACUUCCUACAAUAUGUGGAAGCUUUUUUCUAAUGAAACUGUUAAAUGCAGCGCCGAGGGCUCGCUUAGUAACCAGUUUUAAUGAUAAAAUGGUCUUUAUGUUUAGAAUUCAUGUUGGUAAUUGAAAUGAAAUAAAUAUAAAUGGAUUCAUGGUAGUAUUUGUUGAUUAAAUUUUGUAGGAUUUUUAACAUGGUCUAUGGCGGAUACCAUGAGAAUGGUCAAUACACAGACAAUAUGCUUUGGUGUUCAAAUAUGUGUUAUGAUCUCUUGGUCAUCAUAUCAAGGAAACUGUUCCUCUUCAUAGUACUUGUUUUACAAACUGAUAGCCACCAUGCCAUUACCAUGGGAGCAAGAAGAACAUGGCUGCUUCAGACAUGCAUCUGUCUCAGCAAAAAGAGGGCAUAUUCUCUACUGAUCCCAUGGCUUUGAUAUAUAUAAUCUGCUAUUUUAUUGAUGCUGGUCUACUACAGAAAUAAUUGGAACAAAUGGCUCUUUGGCAAGGAUCCCAAAGCCGCGUGGUUGUGGCUCCAGAGAUGUUUAAUAGAGGACAAUGUUGGGCGCUGAAGACCUUGUGCAAAGAAAUGUUUUGGAACUUUUUACAAGGCUUUGUUUAACCUUCAGCAUGAACUUCUAUGGAAGAGAUUACGUGGUUGUGUCCAGCAGAAAGCUGGGGUGUAUAGGUGCUCGUCGUGUUGAGCAUAGAUUGUUUUUACAAAGGUGUUGAGCAUAGUUAACUUCCCCUUGCAAAAACUGUUGGCGUUCGCCAACGGCCAACUCCAGUACAAAUAAUUAAUAAAAUG